UGUUGUGGCAUUCCUCGUGAGGCUGCCGCGGUCGCAGGCGAUCGGCGCGGCCUCCACAGCUAGGGCACGGCCUCCACAGCUGGGUGAUCCGAGGCCGGUUUUCUUUUCUUCGAUUCGAUGAUGCUUCGGAGGUUCAGGUGGGUGAUCGGGAGGCCCUUCUGCCGCGUUCGCAGGAGAUCGGCACGGCCGGAGGUUCAGCUGGGUGAUCGGAGGCCCUUCUGCCGCGUUCGCAGGAGAUCGGCGUUCACAGGGAGGGCACGACCUCAGCUAGGGCACGACCUCCAUAGCAGGCGAUCGGCGCCCAGGCGAUCGGCGUCUUUUUUUUUCUUCUCGAUUCGAUGAUGCUCUGAUGACGCUUCGGAGGUCGGCGUGACUGGGUGAUCGGAGGCUUCUGCCUGCCGCGGUCGCCGUGACUGGGUGAUCGGAGGCCCUUCUGCCUGCCGCGGUCGCAGGAGAAUUCGGCGCCGGUUUUUUUUCUUGGACU
rnacentral:lncRNA from 1 species